GAGAGUCAAGGGCAGACUAGUUAGUAAGAACAGGAAGGAGCUGGAUACAGGAGCUACGGGUCGGCCGCCGUGUGGCUGCGGGUCAAGCGUCAGGAAUCUGCCCGUAUGGUGUCUAGAGGAGCGUCUUUCUCCCGAGGGACGGCGGUGGUGGCUAUGAAUGGCCCCUCUGUGGAUUUGUCGGUGUGGCGGCGAUGGCUGGUGGCAUCGUAGUGGGGGCGGUUUUGGAACGAGGAGAUUCGGAGAGCACAGAUCGAUCAUUGGACAGAUCGUGAUCCGGAGGGGAUGAGAACCAGCUCAUAGUCCAUGGCGAGGUUGCUGACUCCUGGUCUAGACGAACGAAUGAACGGACGAAUGUGAAAACUAAGUCAAGAGGAUUGAACGGAUCAGAACGGCUCCCAUACAGGAUUAAGAAGCACCCGCAUGUGGUGACACAACAGUCUUCUGUUAGCUGCAUACAGCUGAGCCGAAUAAAUGAAAUGAGCUCCGACCUGCGGUGAAUGUCGGGUACAUUGGAGUGGAUCUCCAGGCAGGACGGGGAGGCAAUGUCAUCAGACAGCUUGACAGCUUCUUGGCGUGGUGGUCGAUGCUUGCAUCAAGGCUCAUUGAGAGAGGAGGGACUGUUAAAUAUUUUGCUCUUCAUAGGGUGUCAACCAUGUCCUCAGUCUGAAGUAGAAAAUCAAGUUACAUUUGCCAAGUUCAUGAGUCAUGGCAACUCAAAAUGGUGAUUAUGAUAAUAAGGUUCAAAAAGGUUAAUACGAUGUUUGAAUGAUUUUUUGCA